CAGUCGCCGCGGGAAUACGGAGGGUGCAAGCGUUAUCCGGAUUUAUUGGGUUUAAAGGGUCCGUAGGCGGAUCUGUAAGUCAGUGGUGAAAUCUCACAGCUUAACUGUGAAACUGCCAUUGAUACUGCAGGUCUUGAGUAAAUUUGAAGUGGCUGGAAUAAGUAGUGUAGCGGUGAAAUGCAUAGAUAUUACUUAGAACACCAAUUGCGAAGGCAGGUCACUAAGAUUUAACUGACGCUGAUGGACGAAAGCGUGGGGAGCGAACAGGAUUAGAUACCCCCGUAGUCCCUGUCUCUUAUAC
rnacentral:rRNA from 1 species